rfam:Streptomyces nanshensis strain SCSIO 10429 scaffold267, whole genome shotgun sequence.
CGACCCCGAGCGGGAGAGUCCUCCGGUGACUGCCGGGGGCGCCGAAGGAGCAACUCCUCCCCGGAAUCUCUCAGGCUCACGUACCGCGCGGGCGAG